rnacentral:rRNA from 1 species
UACGUAGGGGGCUAGCGUUGUCCGGAAUCAUUGGGCGUAAAGCGCGUGUAGGCGGUCCGGUAAGUCCGCUGUGAAAGUCGGGGGCUCAACCCUCGAAUGCCGGUGGAUACUGUCGGGCUAGAGUGCGGAAGAGGCGAGUGGAAUUCCUGGUGUAGCGGUGAAAUGCGCAGAUAUCAGGAGGAACACCAGUGGCGAAAGCGGCCACCUGGACUGCACCUGACGCUGACACGCGAAAGCUAGGGGAGCGAACGGG